AGUGCUUCGUUUGAUUCCACUGUUCGGCUGUGGGACGUUGACCGAGGAGUCUGCAUCCAUACGUUAACAAAACAUCAAGAGCCUGUCUACAGUGUAGCUUUUAGUCCUGAUGGAAAAUAUCUAGCCAGUGGGUCCUUUGACAAAUGUGUCCAUAUAUGGAAUACUCAGAGUGGAACUCUAGUACAUAGCUACCGAGGCACCGGGGGCAUCUUUGAAGUCUGCUGGAAUGCUAGAGGAGACAAAGUGGGAGCAAGCGCAUCAGAUGGAUCGGUUUGUGUUCUAGAUCUGCGGAAGUAAAAGUGAAAUGUUUUAGAAGAAAUGUCAAAUGGACCAGCAGUGAAUGUGUGGGGAGAAGCACUCUUCAAAACUAUUCUUAACAGCUCCAGAACUGUACGAACUUGAACAAAGUUAGAGUGUACGGUGAAACCAACUCUCCCUGGCCACAGGUGUCUAGUAUGUUGUUCAUAACCUUCAUCCAGGAGUAAAAACACAGGCACUUCAGAGGGGGAGGGAAUGGUUUCCACCUGGAACAUUCAGCCUUGGAAGCAUGAAGCCACCAGCUAGGCAUUGCACUGUUUGGUUUGCAUCUGAGAACUUGCUCUGAUGGCUAGGAAAAAAAAAAAAGCUGUGCCAAAAAAAAAUUAAUUAAAAAAAAAAAAGAAAAAAAAAGAAAAA